rnacentral:lncRNA from 1 species
AUGCAGCCUGCUUUUGCAAAGUGGUACGAUCGAAGGGACUGUGUCUUCACUGAAUCUUGUGUUGAAGACAAUAAGGAUGUUAAUGUAAAUUUUGAAAAAUCCAAACUUACAUUCAGUUGUCUUGGAGGAAGUGAUAAUUUUAAGCAUUUAAAUGAAAUUGGUCUUUUUUACUCUAUUGAUCCAAAUGAUUCCAAGCAUAAAAGAACGGACAGAUCAAUUUUAUGUUGUUUACGAAAAGGAGAAUCUGGCCAGUCAUGGCCAAGGUUAACAAAAGAAAGGGCAAAGCUUAACUGGCUUAGUAUGGACUUCAAUCAUUGGAAAGACUGGGAAGAUGGUUCAGAUGAAGACAGGUCUAAUUUUGAUCGUUUCUCCGAGAUGAUGAACAACAUGGGUGGGGAUGAGGAUGUAGAUUUACCAGAAGUAGAUGAAGCAGGUGAUGAUUCACAAGACAGUGAUGAUGAAAAAAUGCCAGAUCUGGAGUA